rnacentral:rRNA from 1 species
AUAAGCAAUUAUACAGCGAAACUGCGAAUGGCUCAUUAUAUAAGUUAUCGUUUAUUUGAUAGUACCUUACUACUUGGACAACCGUGGUAAUUCUAGAGCUAAUACAUGCUAAAAAUCCCGACUUCGGAAGGGAUGUGUUUAUUAGAUUAAAAACCAAUGCCCUCCGGGGCUCCUUGGUGAUUCAUGAUAACUAUUCGAAUCGCAUGGCCUUGCGCCGGCGAUGGUUCAUUCAAAUUUCUUCCCUAUCAACUUUCGAUGUUUGGGUAUUGGCCAAACAUGGUUGCAACGGGUAACGGAGGGUUAGGGCUCGACCCCGGAGAAGGAGCCUGAGAAACGGCUACUACAUCCAAGGAAGGCAGCAGGCGCGCAAAUUACCCAAUCCCGACACGGGGAGGUAGUGACAAUAAAUACUGAUACAGGGCUCUUUUGGGUCUUGUAAUUGGAAUGAGUACAAUUUAAAUCUCUUAACGAGGAACAAUUGGAGGGCAAGUCUGGUGCCAGCAGCCGCGGUAAUUCCAGCU